UGACGGUACCCKAAGAAUAAGCACCGGCUAACUACGUGCCAGCAGCCGCGGUAAUACGUAGGGUGCGAGCGUUAAUCGGAAUUACUGGGCGUAAAGGGUGCGCAGGCGGCCAUGCAAGUCAGAUGUGAAAGCCCGGGCUUAACCUGGGAAUUGCGUUUGAAACUGCAAGGCUAGAGUGCAACAGAGGGGAGUGGAAUUCCAUGUGUAGCAGUGAAAUGCGUAGAGAUGUGGAAGAACACCGAUGGCGAAGGCAGCUCCCUGGGUUGACACUGACGCUCAUGCACGAAAGCGUGGGGAGCAAACAGGAUUAGAUACCCUGGUAGUCCACGCCCUAAACUAUGUCAACUAGUUGUCGGAUCUAAUUAAGGAUUUGGUAACGYKGAAACGCGUGAAGUUGACCGCCUG
rnacentral:rRNA from 1 species